rnacentral:rRNA from 1 species
UAACUCACUUCCACCAACGCCAGGAUAUUACGAGCUUUAGCUUAAAACCCAAAGGACUUGACGGUGUCCCAUCCAUCUAGAGGAGCCUGUUCCAUCAUCGAUAAUCCCCGCUACACCUAACCACCCCUUGCCAAUCAGUCUGUAUACCUCCGUCGUAAACUUACCAUGUGAGUGCUCACAGUAAGUUUAAUGGCCACCAUCACAAAUACGUCAGGUCAAGGUGCAGCUCAUGGGGCGGCAGGCAAUGGGCUACAAUUUCUAUACUAGAACAAACAAAACGCUGCAUGAAAUACAGCCGCGAAGGCGGAUUUAGUAGUAAAAAGAAAAUAGCGUGUUCUUUUUAACUCGGCCCUGGGACGUGU